rnacentral:tRNA from 1 species
UACCAAAGGAUAGUAGUAUUCCACUGGUCUUAG